AGAGAGAGAGAGGAAGGAAGGAAGGAAGGAAGGAAGGAAGGAAGGAAGGAAGGAAGGAAGGAGAUAUGAGUUUCAUUUUGCUUUUCCUCAUUGUCCUAAGCAUCUCCCCUGGUAUCUGCUCCACUCCACAGAUAAUUGAGUCUGGUCCAGGACUGGUGAAACCUGGGGAGUCCUUCAAACUGACCUGCAGAGAUUCUGGGGUUCAAGUCAGUGAUUAUUACUGGAACUGGAUCCGGCAGCCUCUAGGGAAAGGGCUGGAAUGGAUAGCAUUCAUUCGCAACACUGCAAAUGGAGGAACCACUGAGAUCAAUUCAGCACUGAGAAGUCGAGCCAGCAUCUCCAGGGACAUCUCCAGAAAUGAAGUGUAUCUGCAGCUGAGCUCCCCAACAGCUGCAGACACAGCAGUGUAUUUUGCUGUGCGAGGCGAGAGACACAGUGAACAAAAGAAGGAAGCAUCCCUGCAAGAUCCACCCUCAGACUUAACCCCUUGCACAGGAACUGAUAGAUCCCUGUCACCAACAGACAUCCACUGA